GAAGAAGUAUGCAAGAACUGCUAAUUCUAUGCCCCCGUGUCUAAUAACAUGGCUUUUUCA
rnacentral:tRNA from 1 species